AGACAUGGCACAAACACAUGAGUCAUGGAAAAAAUUCUUUGUGUGGGAAGCAGGAAAAACAAAUGGGGCCCAACUUCCAGUUGUUCAAAUGCUCAAAAGUAUUGGACAAACAGACGUGACCUCUGCAACGGAAUGUGACUACCUUCUAGUCUUCUGUCCUGUUGUUUCACGAGUUGGAACGGACAUCGGCGAGGCCCUGCACAACAUAACUCCUGGCAAACCAGUAAUACUGGUAGUGAUGCAUCACACCUUCAAUCCUCACCAUGUUGUAGCUGAAAGCCGGAGGCAGGUGGACAACCCAAAUGUCCACCUAACUGUGGACUGUCUGUUUCAUGAAGGCCGUCUCCUCAAUUGCAACCUCAAUGAUACCAUGUCGAGUGACAUCAAAAGAUUUUUUGGUUCUGAAUCCCCAGCUCCAGCCUUAAUUCACAACUUGAUGUCUUUGUGGCAACGCAUCCCAAGUUUCUUUUUAGGUUUCUUCAUCUGGAAAAUAUUUGGACUUUGUUGCUCCAGUAUUUGGAAUUUAUUCGUGUCGUAGCCGGAAAGCCUGUAUGCUGCAACCUUCUACACCAUUCAAGUCAUUGCCAACUGCAUCAACCUUUUUGCGGAUGUGCACAUCAGGUUGUGUGGGAGGUGACGGCACUGAGUUAAAAUGACUUUUCAGUUACAAUGUAAAUUCCUGUACAAGUCUAAUUCACACAUAAGUUAGCAUGGUAGAACAGGAUUUCUUGAUGUAUGCUCAACCAUCCUAGUAAGUAAAUCCCAAAAGGUUGAUUCCACAACCUUAUAAACAGCACAU
rnacentral:lncRNA from 1 species